GAUGAACAUUAUCUGAUCCCAUUACUCUCUCGGAAUACAAUCCUCUUCUGACUCUCUUUUCCAGGAAUCCAGAAUAAAGAUGGCUCCGCCUCCCUGGCCGUCACUCACCAACAGGCCGCUCCUCUCCUCUCCCUCCGGAUCUCUGCGUCACUGCCAGCCGC